rnacentral:lncRNA from 1 species
UUUAGACCGGCCGCUGACCGCCGUUUUAAACCGAUCAGUUUUCUGGUUCGUUACCGUUAUGGUUCUGAAACCGCAUUCUUUAAUUUCUCUGUCCGUUGUUUUCUCGAGAAACAGCAGUCAAGUUCGUGUUUAGCCGGAGAGCUUCAUCUGUUCUCGGCGAAUAAAAGCAACCUUCAGUGCUAUCCUAGCAAUUGCCGACUCUGCAGCUUAAUUGUUUCUCAACUUAGGUGCGGCUUCUCUUCUCUUUCAUCUGUGUUAUUUUGUUAAUUUAGUUCUUUUAAUGGCCCUGUUGAUUUGUUAUUAUUAGCUGUUAUAAAUGUUCUUGUAUGGCUGUUGUAAUUGUUUUGUGAGUUUUUAAUAAGUUUAUUAGAUGAUGGAGAAUGAGUUUGAAGACGGCUAUUCGAGUUUUUGCAGCUUUAAUUUGGGAUAAUUUUCCAUUUCUAGUUAUGAGAUUUUUGCGUUUAAGGUGAAUGUGAGAUAUUUGAUUGAGCUUUUGUUGCUUUAAUUUCGAUGAAUUUUUCCCUUUUAGUUGUGGGAUUUUAUUUUAUUUUUACGGUGAUUUUGAGACUUACUGAGUUUUCGUCUAUAUAUGUUGCUUUUAAAAUGGUAAUUUAGAGCCAAGAUCCAGGAGGUAUGUGAUACGAUGCUCAUAUAGUUCGAAGUUGGAGCAGUGACAACCUGAUCCCUUACUCUGUUUGUGUCAACAUUGUAGUAUCUCAAUUUUUGUGUCAACAUUGUAGUAUCUCAAUUUCAAUUUCUUGAAUCCAUAACUUUAGACAGAUGUGAUAAGUUGGAGAGUGUGAAUAUUUCAAGGCACUGCCUCAAAACACUCUGUAUGUAUAGGUGUUUAGUUUAGUUGACUGAAAUCAAGAUUGAG